GAGACACUUUGGCAUGAAUGUGUCUGAGAAAAGACUGAGACUUCAUUUCAAGCACUGUUUCUGCUUCAUCACCUGAAUACCUUUAUUUCUGCAAACACUCCAUAGACAAUUACAGUGUAGAAGAGCAUGUGACAGUACUAGUGCUGCACUUCUGCUAUCAAUAGAGGAAAAAAAAACCCACUUACUAUCCAGGGGAAAAUGUUCUUUAGCUACUUAAUCUGGCUACUUCCAGCCUGGCAGUGAAAUUCCAGUACAGGAAAAAGCUACAAUUUUCAAAAGGACGACAUCAGUAAUUAAGCCUUCAAACCAAGGACUGAAAUUUGUACCUCCACCUUCACUGUUAUUUCAGAGGGCACUGUGAAUACAACAUUCUCUAACUUCAAAUGGGUUUGCAUGAUUACCUACGACUCUUUUCCUGCAAAGUGAAUCAUAGUACCCGACAACUCGAAUAAAAGCAAGGGCUGAUCAACUACGCGAUACUCCUGAACGGCAAAUGCGUCAAGAGGACAAGACCAACACCUUCCUGCUUUCGUACUCUUCCUCCUGCUGAUAUGUUACUAUAACACAAAAGUGAGAGGAAAAAAUUUCACUUUAGAGAGAACUUUUGUACCAUUACAUUUUUUUAAGGAGUAAACUGUAAGAUUCAAUACUAAACAUUCCCUCAUAUGACUGUUUUCCUGUGCAGCUUUUAAGUAAGUGCAAUUGUGUUAUAAAAUACCACAUUCCAUUCUUUCACACCAGAAUCCUAGAACUGUAUCAAUCACUUUUUGACAACAGAACUGCUUUUAACCACAGGCAAAA